CGAGACGAGCGAGCGGCAGUCGCUCCAAGAUGGCGUCUUCAGCUUUCAUGUUCGUGUCGUCAGCCAAACGUUUUAGUGUUUACUGAAAAAGUCUGGGCCGCAAACAUCACGGUGGUUACCAUGUCAGUUUGGAAGUGCUAUUAUCACAGAGGAGCAGUCGUGCUCACCGUGACGGCGACGGGCGGCAGCGACGCGACAGGUCUGGUCUGACUUAACCUCCUGCUCUGUACACAACUGUCCCAGAACUCCAAGCAACUGCAAUGAUGCUACGAACUGUUUACGGAUUCCUAUGGACCAAUAAGAUGUUGGGCGUUCAAGUUCAAUUUACGGGUUUCAACUUAGCAGCCCGGGGGUGGCUUCACAUUCACAUCUGUCUACUGGUGUUCUAACAUCUGUCCUGGAGUAACCAUGAGUUGGCUGCUGAACGUUUCCGAUGCUUGAUGCUGUAACACACUCACUGACAAAUAUAAGAUUGCAUGUUGCUUGGCUGGAGACUUGAGAAUGGCAUUCUUCACCAUGAAACUGGACUUGACUUUUGGGGAAA